CGAGAUUUUGAGAGUUACAAUUUUUUCUUUCUUCCUCUUCAUCUUCUUCUUUUUUAUCUCAACUUGGUGCAUGUGAUUUGAACGUCGGAUUUCUGAAACUCAUCUAAAAUUUGAAUCUCACAAUCAAAGGAUAUGGAGAUGGUACCAGUUAUAUCGUUAAAGUGCGAGGUUAUUUUGGUUAGGCUGAGUCUACCACUUAUACCAUGGCGCAUCUCAGCACCACACCAGGAGGAAGAUGGAGAUUGUGCUCCGACAAGCAGGAGAGGGACGAAGAAACUCGAUCGGCUACGUUAGACGAGCAAGAGCCAGGGACGUACUUGACGAGCAGACGAGGGACAAGUGGUAGAAGCCGACAAAGAGUAGUGAUAGUAACGGUUCAAUGAAGUCAAGUCUAUUAGGGACUCCCUGACGAUCCCGAACCUUCCAAAAGUGAUGGGUAUGUUUUAUGAUAUGUUGUCUUUGCCACUGCGUUUAUAAUGGGCGUAUAGACCAGCUGAGGCCCAAACUCUCAAUCUCUAGGCCCAUUCGUCGAUGCCUAAGAUACAACCUUGGGCCGAUCUAGCUAACCUGGGCAUGGUAUAGAUGGGCUUUAGCCUUUUUUUCUUUUUUGUAGAAAGAACUUUUCGCCCUUUUCCAAUUUUUGUUACUUGUAAUAUAUUUUAAUUUGAUUAUUUUCUAUGUGACAUUUUAAUUUCAUUAUUAACAGUUAAUUUAAAUUAUGAUGAAUAAUUUUUAUAAA